rnacentral:rRNA from 1 species
GUGAACCUGCGGAAGGAUCAUUAUUGAAUUAUGUUUUCUAGAUGGGUUGUAGCUGGCUCUUCGGAGUAU